ACAGCAGUCGCCGCGGUAAUACAGAGGGUGCAAGCGUUAAUCGGAAUUACUGGGCGUAAAGCGCGCGUAGGUGGUUUGUUAAGUUGGAUGUGAAAUCCCCGGGCUCAACCUGGGAACUGCAUCCAAAACUGGCAAGCUAGAGUAUGGUAGAGGGUGGUGGAAUUUCCUGUGUAGCGGUGAAAUGCGUAGAUAUAGGAAGGAACACCAGUGGCGAAGGCGACCACCUGGACUGAUACUGACACUGAGGUGCGAAAGCGUGGGGAGCAAACAGGAUUAGAUACCCCGGUAGUCCCUGUCUCUUAUAC
rnacentral:rRNA from 1 species